CCCUUAGAUGUUCUGGGCCGCACGCGCGCUACACUGAUGCAUUCAACGAGUCUAAAACCUGCUCUGAUAGGGGUGGGUAAUCUUUUGAAUGUGCAUCGUGAUUGGGAUAGAUGAUUGCAAUUUUUCAUCUUCAACGAGGAAUGCCGAGUAAACGCAAGUCAUCAGCUUGCAUUGAUUACGUCCCUGCCCUUUGUACACACCGCCCGUCGCUCCUACCGAUUGAAUGAUCCGAUGAAUAUCAUGGAUUGAGGAUUAUAGCAGGUUCGCCUGUCUUGAUCUUCGAGAAGUGAAGUAAAUCUUAUCAUUUAGAGGAAGGAGAAGUCGUAACA
rnacentral:rRNA from 1 species